rnacentral:tRNA from 1 species
GAUAAUGAAGUAAUAAUUACUUUUAAUUUCGACUUAAAAAUAGGAUAGAAUUCAUCCCUUAUCU